rnacentral:rRNA from 1 species
AUUGAACGCUGGUGGCAUGCCUUACACAUGCAAGUCGAACGGCAGCACGGGAGCAAUCCUGGUGGCGAGUGGCGAACGGGUGAGUAAUACAUCGGAACGUGCCCAAUCGUGGGGGAUAACGCAGCGAAAGCUGUGCUAAUACCGCAUACGAUCUACGGAUGAAAGCAGGGGAUCGCAAGACCUUGCGCGAAUGGAGCGGCCGAUGGCAGAUUAGGUAGUUGGUGAGGUAAAGGCUCACCAAGCCGUCGAUCUGUAGCUGGUCUGAGAGGACGACCAGCCACACUGGGACUGAGACACGGCCCAGACUCCUACGGGAGGCAGCAGUGGGGAAUUUUGGACAAUGGGCGAAAGCCUGAUCCAGCCAUGCCGCGUGCAGGAUGAAGGCCUUCGGGUUGUAAACUGCUUUUGUACGGAACGAAACGGCCUUUUCUAAUAAAGAGGGCUAAUGACGGUACCGUAAGAAUAAGCACCGGCUAACUACGUGCCAGCAGCCGCGGUAAUACGUAGGGUGCAAGCGUUAAUCGGAAUUACUGGGCGUAAAGCGUGCGCAGGCGGUUAUGUAAGACAGUUGUGAAAUCCCCGGGCUCAACCUGGGAACUGCAUCUGUGACUGCAUAGCUAGAGUACGGUAGAGGGGGAUGGAAUUCCGCGUGUAGCAGUGAAAUGCGUAGAUAUGCGGAGGAACACCAGUGGCGAAGGCGACACACUGGCUCAUUACUGACGCUGAGGCUCGAAAGCGUGGGGAGCAAACAGG